rnacentral:tRNA from 1 species
AUUUAUGUAGUUUAAUUAAAACAUUACAUUUUCACUGUAAAAAUAAAGUAUCUUUCAUAAAUA